rnacentral:rRNA from 1 species
AGUGAACGCUGGCGGUAGGCCUAACACAUGCAAGUCGAACGGCAGCACAGUAAGAGCUUGCUCUUACGGGUGGCGAGUGGCGGACGGGUGAGGAAUACAUCGGAAUCUACUUUUUCGUGGGGGAUAACGUAGGGAAACUUACGCUAAUACCGCAUACGACCUACGGGUGAAAGCAGGGGAUCUUCGGACCUUGCGCGAUUGAAUGAGCCGAUGUCGGAUUAGCUAGUUGGCGGGGUAAAGGCCCACCAAGGCGACGAUCCGUAGCCGGUCUGAGAGGAUGAUCAGCCACACUGGAGCUGAGACGCGGUCCAGACUCCUACGGGAGGCAGCAGUGGGGAAUAUUGGACAAUGGGCGCAAGCCUGAUCCAGCCAUACCGCGUGGGUGAAGAAGGCCUUCGGGUUGUAAAGCCCUUUUGUUGUGAAAGAAAAGCAGCAGGUUAAUACCCCGCUGUUCUGACGGUACCCAAAGAAUAAGCACCGGCUAACUUCGU